rnacentral:rRNA from 1 species
AACGAACGCUGGCGGCAGGCUUAACACAUGCAAGUCGAACGCAUCCUUCGGGGUGAGUGGCAGACGGGUGAGUAACGCGUGGGAACGUGCCCUUCAGUUCGGAAUAACCCAGGGAAACUUGGGCUAAUACCGGAUACGUGCGAGAGCAGAAAGAUUUAUCGCUGAAGGAUCGGCCCGCGUCUGAUUAGCUAGUUGGUGAGGUAAUGGCUCACCAAGGCGACGAUCAGUAGCUGGUCUGAGAGGAUGAUCAGCCACAUUGGGACUGAGACACGGCCCAAACUCCUACGGGAGGCAGCGGUGGGGAAUAUUGGACAAUGGGCGCAAGCCUGAUCCAGCCAUGCCGCGUGAGUGAUGAAGGCCUUAGGGUUGUAAAGCUCUUUCGUCCGGGACGAUAAUGACGGUACCGGAAGAAGAAGCCCCGGCUAACUCCGUGCCAGCCGCCGCCGAAAUAC